rnacentral:lncRNA from 10 species
GUAAGUAUUUUUUUUUUUGAUAGUACAACACUAUUCCCAUAACUCUGAUUUUACAUGCAGACAUAUUAUGCUAAUGAGAGAUGGUUUCACAACUUAACCACGCCUCUGUUGUAGAACACAUGAGCUACUUUCUCUCACUCUAUAAAUAAUGCCGUGAUUGAUAUCUUCAUGGAUAUGGCUUUUAACCAAAUUGUUUUUCUAAAGGGUUGCCCUAAUUUGAAUGCCAGACUUAAACCGUAAUAGCAUAUUAUUAUCUAAAAAAAUAGUUGGUGCUUUUUUAGGCAACAGUAUCUUGGUUUAAUCAGCACAUAGUUGAAUACAGGCUUGGCUUUAUUCAAGAAACAUUUAAAGGGUACCUGCUAUAUACCAGGAAUGAUGGUAGGAAUGGAAGAUACACAGGUGUUUGCAUUAUACGACUCACUCAGAAAGCCAAAACCAGGGCGUUUCAAUUACUCUAACCCAUGACUCACUCAGCUGAUGGUUUCAGGGGCUGUGCUGAAGAAGCCUUGGUGAUAUGGGUGCAAAUGCCAAAAACAUGGAAUGCUGGAAGCCAAGCUUGCACAUUCUAGGCAGCCAUUUGGAAGAUUCUUCUCUGCGCAUGACCAGCUGAAAAGGAAAAACCCCGAAACAUUGGCACUGUGAUUUCUCCAUGUGAACAGUUUAGUUCGCCGAGGUGGACAUGCCUCAUUCAUGCUUAUGGAGUGACCGACCAGCCUUUAGUGACACCCCCUGAAAUGUGAGUCAUCCAUGGGUCACUAGUCAUUGGAGAAGAGCCCCUUAUACAAAACUUGGAGCUCAGACCACAAACAACAACAACAAUCCAAAAAAUAAAAAAAUGAAAAAUUAGGAGCAGAGACUAAAUGGAAAGAUGGAAAUAUUAAAAUAAAAAUAUUAUUUUAAAAAUUAAUAUGUAUUAAAAUUUU